AAAAAAGGAAGAAAGUAGCUGAGAACCAGCAGCUGAAGAAAGCAAGAAAAUCUGAAUGAAGUCACAAAUGUCACCAAGGAAAGGCAGAACAGAAAAAUAACUUGAAUAUUCAAGAUGGACACAUCAAGCCUUGUGAAGAGGUGACUCCGAGCCUGUGGCAGGAAGACGAUGUAACAACCAUUACCAGUUCUCUGUGGCACUGCAGGCCACAUGAUGGUGAUGUUGAAGGCAGUGCUUCCUCGGUGUCAGAGUCAGCGUGGUGGCGUCUGUGCACAACCCUGGCAAGCUGGUCUUCUGCACCUUUAAUUUUGAGGAAGCUCACUGUCCGUCUGUCUAUAAUGCCAGGCCUGUUCUCCGUCCAGCUCAGCAGCAUGGCAGCCAUUCUUACACAAAGACAUCUACACGGAGGCACAUGCCUGUAGCCUCACCACACAGGCAGGUGGUGGUGAAUUCUACACUAACCUUGGCUACACAGUGACACACUGCCCCAAAACAGAAACAAAGAGCAAAAAGUUUCUCAGUGAACCUCAGAAAAGGUUCCUAAGGUAACAAAAGAAUCAAAAUAUGCCCUAGCUCACCCCAAAUGCCAAGAGCCUUGCUAUGUUUAGGAAGUACCUCCAUAAAAUGCUGUUUUCCC